AUGGGGCAGGACGGGAUCUAUGGGGCAGAAGAACUCCUAUGGGGCAGAGUAACUCCGAUAGGAUUUUCUAUGGGGCAGGAUCGGAUCUAUGGGGCAGAGAAAUCCCUCUUCAGCCAAUCGGGGCUCUUCAAGGCCGGCAGCCGGCUCCUGGUUCCGGAAGGUUCCGGAAGCGCCGGGAGCUUCGUCUGCACCGCCCGGCACGCGGCCACGGCGACCACCAAGAGCGUCCGGGUCAAAGGUCCUCCCACCUCGGCCUCCACCGUAGGCUCCGCCCCCUCCACCGCCACCGCCCCAGUUGACGGCGUGAAGCCCCGCCCACCGGUCGUCUCCGUCUUCCAAUCCUGCGGCUCCUCCCACCUGGAGGUGGAGCUGAUCUGCCUCGUCACCGACCUGGCCCCGCCCACCGUCGCCGUGGAUUGGCUGAAGGACGGCGAGCCGAUGGCGGGAGGCCACGCCCACACGGAGGAGGCCACGCCCGGCCCCGCCCCCGGGGCGUUCCGGGUGGUGUCGCGCCUCAACGUCUCCACGGCCGAUUGGUGGGACGGCGCCUUCUCCUGCCGGGCGACGCACGCCGCGUCCGGCGCCGUGCGCGAGGCCACGGCCGGCCCCGCCCCCGGGGCGUUCCGGGUGGUGUCGCGCCUCAACGUCUCCACGGCCGAUUGGUGGGACGGCGCCUUCUCCUGCCGGGCGACGCACCCCGCGUCCGGCGCCGUGCGCGAGAAAUUUUUCCAAAAUCCUCGAAUUUCUGAGGUUCUCCAACUUCGAGGUUCUCCAAAAUUUUCGAGAUUUUCCAAAAAUCCUCGAAUUUCUCCAAAAUCCUCGAAUUUCUCCAAAAAUCCUCAAAUUCCUCCCAAAACUCUCAAAUUUUUCCGAAAUUUCUCGGAUUUCUCCAAAAUUCUUGAGUUUCUCCGAGAUUUUCGAGGUCCUCCCACCUCGGCCUCCACCGUAGGCUCCGCCCCCUCCACCGCCACCGCCCCAGUUGACGGCGUGAAGCCCCGCCCACCGGUCGUCUCCGUCUUCCAAUCCUGCGGCUCCUCCCACCUGGAGGUGGAGCUAAUCUGCCUCAUCACCGACCUGGCCCCGCCCACCGUCGCCGUGGAUUGGCUGAAGGACGGCGAGCCGAUGGCGGGAGGCCACGCCCACACGGAGGAGGCCACGCCCGGCCCCGCCCCCGGGGCGUUCCGGGUGGUGUCGCGCCUCAACGUCUCCACGGCCGAUUGGUGGGACGGCGCCUUCUCCUGCCGGGCGACGCACGCCGCGUCCGGCGCCGUGCGCGAGGCCACGGCCAACUCAACCCAAACUCAACUUUUGAUAGCCCCCAGCUCCACGCCCAUCUCCGUCUUCGCGCUGCCGCCGUCGCCCUCCGACCUCUUCAUCACGCAGACGCCGCGGCUGCUGUGCCUGGUGACCAGCCUGCCCAGCGACGAGGGGCUCUCGGUCACCUGGAGCCGCGUGGGCGGCGGCCAUCUUGGCCAGCCCCUCCCCCUGCGGCUGAGCCACCACUUCAACGGGACCUUCACGGCGGCCAGCGAGCUGCCGGUGGCCACCGGCGACUGGGAGGGCGGCGCCGCCUUCGUCUGCCGGGUGGGGCACGCCGAGCUGCCGGCGCCGCUGGAGAGGAGGGUGGAGAGGCGGCAAGGUGGGGGUUAA